UACGUAGGGGGCAAGCGUUAUCCGGAAUUAUUGGGCGUAAAGAGCUCGUAGGCGGUUUGUCGCGUCUGCCGUGAAAGUCCGGGGCUCAACUCCGGAUCUGCGGUGGGUACGGGCAGACUAGAGUGAUGUAGGGGAGACUGGAAUUCCUGGUGUAGCGGUGAAAUGCGCAGAUAUCGGGAAGAACACCUAUGGCGAAGGCAGCUCUCUGGGACGGUACUGACGCUGAGACGCGAAAGCGUGGGGAGCGAACAGG
rnacentral:rRNA from 1 species